rnacentral:rRNA from 1 species
AGAUGAGAUUUCCCUUUGAGUAAUCAAGAAAGACCCCUCAGAGACGAUGAGGUAGAUAGGUCACGGGUGGAAGCAUGGCGACAUGUGGAGCUGAGUGAUACUAAUCGGUCGAGGCCUUGUUCUAG